UAAGCAUAAUACAUGAUAUAUCUUAUACAUUGCAGUGUCAGAUUACAAGCGAUAACAUCAAUUGGAAGGUAUGGGUCGCCAAAUAACCGUUUUUGUUAUGUGUGUAUUUAUUAUACAUUCAUUUGCAAUUCAAAAUGUCACAAGUGAAGGCUUUAGUUUCAUUGAUUUGUUGAAAAAACCACUAAACUUCUUGACGAAAUCCAAGUCCUCAUCAAGUUCCAAUUCAUUUCUACCUGUAAUGCUCAAGUCGUAGUGAUACAUUUGUUCAAACAGGAGGAUCUAUCCUAAAGAGUCUGGAUCCGACGAACGGUGUUAAGCAAGAAAAAAUUACUCCUCAAGUUAAAUGCAAAAAAUUUCGUUUUCUUCGCAAACUUUUCAAGCAUCAAUGCAUAUCAUUCGAAAGGAAUACGGCAAUAGCAAAAUGAAAAUUUGUCUUUCUAUUCAAAUAUAAUAUUCUCGUAAAUACAUUUGAGUAUUAUAGAAUUUAUCAACCAUAAAUAACUAAUAAAUGUCAUUGUAAUGUAAGAGACGAAUCAUCAUUAUUUCACAACAGUUUUAGCGAAUGAAAUAUAAUUUGAGUUAGUAUUA
rnacentral:misc_RNA from 1 species